rnacentral:rRNA from 1 species
AAUCAACGCUGGCGGCGUGCCUCAGACAUGCAAGUCGAACGCGAAAGUUUCCUUCGGGAAGCGAGUAGAGUGGCGUCCGGGUGAGUAACACGUAGGUAAUCUACCUUUGGGUGGGGAAUAACAACCGGAAACGGUUGCUAAUACCGCAUAAUGCAGCGGCACCACAUGGUGACAGUUGUUAAAGCGGGGAGUCGCAAGACCUCGCGCCUAAAGAGGAGCCUGCGGCGGAUUAGCAGUUGGUAAGGUAACGGCUUACCAAGGCAACGAUCCGUAGCCGGCCUGAGAGGGCGGUCGGCCACACUGACACUGAAAUACGGGUCA